rnacentral:rRNA from 1 species
UACGGAGGGGGCUAGCGUUGUUCGGAAUUACUGGGCGUAAAGCGCACGUAGGCGGCUUUGUAAGUUAGAGGUGAAAGCCCAGGGCUCAACCCUGGAACUGCCUUUGAUACUGUCGAUCUGGAGUAUGGAAGAGGUGAGUGGAAUUCCGAGUGUAGAGGUGAAAUUCGUAGAUAUUCGGAGGAACACCAGUGGCGAAGGCGGCUCACUGGUCCAUUACUGACGCUGAGGUGCGAAAGCGUGGGGAGCAAACAGG